CCGUUUCUCUUCUUCUCUUUUCAAAACUUAUUAAUAACUCCGUAAAAGAUUUUUUUUCUUUUUUAAUCUGUGGCUAAUGCGGUGAACCUUUAAUUUAUGCAGGUACCACUUGUGCCACAGUCCUCACCCGUGCUAUAUUUUCCGAGGGCUGCAAAUCAGUUGCAGCUGGGAUGAAUGCAAUGGACCUGUGUCAUGGAAUCACAAUGGCUGUUGAUGCUGUUGUUACAAACCUGAAGAGCAGAGCCAGAAUGAUUAGCACAAUUGAAGAAAUUGCACAGGUUUAUUUCUUUCACCCAUUAGUUUUGUUGCAAUUGUUAGAAGUGAAGGGUUGUAAUGAACCAUUAUGGGCUACAGUUAUUGUUUUUUUUUUUUACUCAGCAGUUGAUUUAAUUCUGUUGGCUGCAGUUCUUUCAUUAGGAAAAAAAAAAAAUCUCUAACUAUGAUUCAUGCUUUAAUUUCUUCUAGAAAUUUUGGGCAUUCACAAUUUACAAGUGCCAUAUACUUCUUAUAUAUAAAUAAAGUAAAAUACUUUGUUGUCAUAAUGAACUACGUUGAGAUUGGAAUUUUCGGUAGCAGUACUUGAGAGUUGAUUUUCCAUGUCUUUGUAAAAUUUGGCUCAAUUAGUUUUCAUGGGAGGGAUAGAUAUCGCUUGUUGCAAUAUCGAUUGUUUAAUAUCAAGUUGCUUUUGAUGGUUAAUAAAAUUCUUAAAAGAAUCCAUUUAGGCUAAAUUAGUACCAAUAUUGGUGAUAGAUUAAUAUUCGAUAUAGUUUCUAUUUUCAAUCAUUUUUCUAUUUGAUGGUUAAUAUUCAAUAUAGUUUCUAUUUUCAAUCAUCUUUCUAUUUGAUAGUUAAUAUUCCUUCUUUCUCUGUAUUUCUCUUUGUUUACUUCUUUUUAAGUUUCAGAUUAUAAAAUUCUUUAAUCUUCUAGGGUUUCCUUCUUCGUAAGAGUAGAGAGAAGCUCUAGAUUGCAGCUCAAAGUGUUUCCUUCUGUUAAUCUGAUUGCAUUGAAGUGUUUUCGCAUGAAGUAAUUCCUUUUCUCUCCACUCCUCUCUAUAUGUUACUUUUAGUAUGGCAUGUUUGGUACUUUUGUAAUAGGUGCAAAGUCAUUCAAUCGGCAAAGCUUUGAUCACAUUGGAGACACUCAAAAUCCUUAUGAGCAAGCAAUAUCUAUCAUUUGAAGAGCAUUAAGGUUUUUUUUUUUAUGAGAAUGAUUUGAUACCCUGUUUCAGAUUUGGAGAUGACAGUUUCUUAUGAUCAUAUGCUUUCAUGGGUUGUUUAGUAGCUGACUCUAUCUUGAUUACACACUAACGUUCUCUUUUCUAUAUUUUGGCAACAUCAAUAUAUGAUCAAGAUGUCUUUAGUUACUAUCCUAAUGAGAGACACUGAUGGAUUAGAGAAAGCUUUGACUCCAACAAAUAAAUAGUCCCCUUCUACCGUUGGCAGGAAUGGACUCUCUAUGAGAUAUUAAGAUAUGCACUCCAACACAAUUGGACUGCUUAUGAGGAAGCUCUGAAAACAAACCCUCUUUUGGCCAAAAUGGUAAUAAAUGGAGUCGUCUACUCCUUGGGGGGAUUGGAUUGUGCAAGUAUGACUUAGUCUUGAAAUAAAACCUUGUUUCUUGGUUAUCUUCUUUUUCUAUUACGAAAAUUUGGUAAUCUAUUACUUUAUUCUAAAAUAACUUGCAAUGCUAUGAAGGAAACCUCUUUUUGAGUUUGACAAAACCCAAAUAUUCAGAUCAAGCCUUGUAGGGUUCUCUCUACAUGGCUCCCUUUUUUUCUAUUAUUACUAAUUCUGUGAAGGGACUAUCAUGGUUUACAUUAGAGUAUUUAUCUCAAUUUAUUUUUUGAUUCUCUUUAGAAGAUUGAAGACCUUUGUUGUCCAGGCUCUUUUUUCUUUCCAGGGCUGGUGUGGUCCCUACUAAGGUUAUUGAGUCUGAUCAUGACAACCAUCCGCACCAAGGCCUUAUCAAAUGUUAUUUGCUCACAAGAGUUUGAGCCCAGCUGCAUAUGUGUGCAUAUAUAUAUAUAUAUAUAUAUAUAUAUUUUCUUUUCUUCAUUUAUUGCUCUCUCUCUCUCUCUCUCUCUCUCUCUUUUUGCAACACAUGAUUAUAAAUGCAACUAAAGUACUAAACUAACUAGCCUCAUUCCAGUUACUUGUAGUUGGGUCCAACAAUUCUGUUGCUCCUUAUACUCUAUUUAAGUUCAAUUAUUCAAACACUCAUGCUAAUGCAUUUUCUCACUACAACCUGAUAUUCUCGAGAUUUCCCAGUACAUUUUCUUCUUGGAUUCUCAAUGCAUAUUUAUGUUUUGUUUUGAGGAAAUGAAUCAGUACAAUUUGGGCAUUUGUAGCCAAAGAAAGCUUAGGAAAGGCUUAUUUGUUCUUCGUAGAUGGGCAAUGAUUAUUUUCUUUAAAGGAACAUGUGUUUGCACCUCCUUAAACUCCGGAAAAAUAGCAUGGGUUUUAUUUGAUUUGAAAUAUUAUAUUUCAAUUUUGUUUUUUCCUUUCUUUGAUCACAACUUUUAUAAUUUAAAUAUUUAUCUUUAACUCAAUUUGCAGAGCACUUCGGGUGUGGGUAGUUAUUUCAAGCCUCAAAAGGAUGGUGGUUCGAAUCCACCAAGUCCCUUGUCUAUAUUUUCAUUUUAAUUUUACUGAUAGUGUCAUGGGAAUUGAUACAUAUCAAAUGAAAAGCAAAAAUGUCCUAUAACUUUUAUUU